UGGUGAUGAGGUUGAGCAGGCCGGAGCGCAGGUCCAAGCCCAGGAGCAGACAGCACACGAUGAAUGUUGGCAGCAGACACAGUGAGAUGUUGAAGAGGCCCUCCGGUACGAUGGUCAGUUUGGAACACAUUUGAAGAUCAACAGUUUGGUGCUGCAUCAGACAUGGCAGAUAGAUGAAAUGACGAAAACAAAGAAUGAUGUCAAGAGCAAGAACUCCUUACGUGUAUGGGAAGACCUCAAAGUCCGGAGAGGUUCCCUCUAUGUUCCGCAUGCCCUCAGUGAUCUUGUCAGCCAGCUCUCUGGCCCUCAAUAGUGCUGCAGUGAACUCUUGAGAGUUGCUCAGAGCCGUGUCAUAGGCUCCAAGUCCUCUUCACGAUGAAAGCACAGCCAAGUCAGGCCUGUUAGCCAAGAAGUUAGGAAGAAAUCGGUUGAACUCUUCCACCGUGGGCCGCAGGACGCCAUCUGCGGGGGUCUUCAUACACUUUCGUCCACAGAGAAGAGGAGCUAUGAUAAUAUGAGGGCAUGAACAGAACUUUCCAGCAUUUGGACCAAAGCUAUAAAGUCGACAACAUCUGGAUCCCGGGUUCAGCCAGUCGAUGAAAUCAUCAACCCAGGAGUUUGCAGAGAUGCCAAUGUAAGAUCUACAGAGCAAAUAAUAAAUUAACU